rnacentral:rRNA from 1 species
AGAGGGUGCGAGCGUUAAUCGGAAUGACUGGGCGUAAAGGGCACGUAGGUGGUUAGGCAAGUGUUGUUUGAAAAUCCCGGGCUUAACCUGGGAGUGUGAUGACAGACUGCUUGACUCGAGUUCAAGAGAGGGAAGGGGAAUUUCCGGAGUAGCGGUGAAAUGCGUAGAUAUCGGAAGGAACAUCAGUGGCGAAGGCGCCUUCCUGGCUUGAUACUGACACUGAGGUGCGAAAGCGUGGGUAGCGAACAGGGAUUAGAUACCCUGGUAGUCCACGCUGUAAACGCUGAGAACUAGCUGCUGGAACGCUAGACGUUUCAGUGGCGUAGCUAACGCGCUAAGUUCUCCGCCUGGGAUUACGGCCGCAAGGUUA